rnacentral:rRNA from 1 species
CCUACGGGAGGCAGCAGUGGGGAAUAUUGGACAAUGGGCGAAAGCCUGAUCCAGCAAUGCCGCGUGAGUGAUGAAGGCCUUAGGGUUGUAAAGCUCUUUUACCAGGGAUGAUAAUGACAGUACCUGGAGAAUAAGCUCCGGCUAACUCCGUGCCAGCAGCCGCGGUAAUACGGAGGGAGCUAGCGUUGUUCGGAAUUACUGGGCGUAAAGCGUACGUAGGCGGCGAUUCAAGUCAGAGGUGAAAGCCUGGAGCUCAACUCCAGAACUGCCUUUGAAACUAGAUUGCUAGAAUCGUGGAGAGGUGAGUGGAAUUCCGAGUGUAGAGGUGAAAUUCGUAGAUAUUCGGAAGAACACCAGUGGCGAAGGCGGCUCACUGGACACGUAUUGACGCUGAGGUACGAAAGCGUGGGGAGCAAACAGGAUUAGAUACCCUGGUAGUCCACGCCGUAAACGAUGAUAACUAGCUGCCAGGGUUCUUAGAACUUUGGUGCGCNGCACGCAUAGUUAUCGCCGUGGAGUACGGUCGCAGAUAACUACAAGAAGUAGAGCGUGAGAGUGCCGACGACGACGACGAGGGAGUUAGG